UACAGAGGGUGCGAGCGUUAAUCGGAAUUACUGGGCGUAAAGCGCACGUAGGUGGCUUUGCAAGUCGAUCGUGAAAUCCCCGGGCUUAACCUGGGAACUGCAGUCGAGACUGCUUUGCUUGAGUAUGGGAGAGGGAGGUGGAAUUUCCGGUGUAGCGGUGAAAUGCGUAGAUAUCGGAAGGAACAUCAGUGGCGAAGGCGACCUCCUGGACCAAUACUGACACUCAAGUGCGAAAGCGUGGGGAGCAAACAGG
rnacentral:rRNA from 1 species